GAGGAGCGCUGGCGGCGUGCCUAACACAUGCAAGUCGAGCGAUUCUCUUCGGAGAAGAGCGGCGGACGGGUGAGUAACGCGUGGGUAACCUGCCCUGUACACACGGAUAACAUACCGAAAGGUAUGCUAAUACGAGAUAAUAUGCUUUUAUCGCAUGGUAGAAGUAUCAAAGCUUUUGCGGUACAGGAUGGACCCGCGUCUGAUUAGCUAGUUGGUAAGGUAACGGCUUACCAAGGCGACGAUCAGUAGCCGACCUGAGAGGGUGAUCGGCCACAUUGGAACUGAGACACGGUCCAAACUCCUACGGGAGGCAGCAGUGGGGAAUAUUGCACAAUGGGCGAAAGCCUGAUGCAGCAACGCCGCGUGAGCGAUGAAGGCCUUCGGGUCGUAAAGCUCUGUCCUCAAGGAAGAUAAUGACGGUACUUGAGGAGGAAGCCCCGGCUAACUACGUGCCAGCAGCCGCGGUAAUACGUAGGGGGCUAGCGUUAUCCGGAAUUACUGGGCGUAAAGGGUGCGUAGGUGGUUUCUUAAGUCAGAGGUGAAAGGCUACGGCUCAACCGUAGUAAGCCUUUGAAACUGGGAAACUUGAGUGCAGGAGAGGAGAGUGGAAUUCCUAGUGUAGCGGUGAAAUGCGUAGAUAUUAGGAGGAACACCAGUUGCGAAGGCGGCUCUCUGGACUGUAACUGACGCUGAGGCACGAAAGCGUGGGGAGCAAAAAGGAUUAGAUACCCUGGUAGUCCACGCCGUAAACGAUGAGUACUAGCUGUCGGAGGUUACCCCCUUCGGUGGCGCAGCUAACGCAUUAAGUACUCCGCCUGGGAAGUACGCUCGCAAGAGUGAAACUCAAAGGAAUUGACGGGGGACCCGCACAAGUAGCGGAGCAUGUGGUUUAAUUCGAAGCAACGCAAAGAACCUUACCUAAGCUUGACAUCCUUUUGACCGAUGCCUAAUCGCAUCUUUCCCUUCGGGGACAGAAGUGACAGGUGGUGCAUGGUUGUCGUCAGCUCGUGUCGUGAGAUGUUGGGUUAAGUCCCGCAACGAGCGCAACCCUUGCCUUUAGUUGCCAGCAUUAAGUUGGGCACUCUAGAGGGACUGCCAGGGAUAACCUGGAGGAAGGUGGGGAUGACGUCAAAUCAUCAUGCCCCUUAUGCUUAGGGCUACACACGUGCUACAAUGGGUGGUACAGAGGGCAGCCAAGUCGUGAGGCGGAGCUAAUCCCUUAAAGCCAUUCUCAGUUCGGAUUGUAGGCUGAAACUCGCCUACAUGAAGCUGGAGUUACUAGUAAUCGCAGAUCAGAAUGCUGCGGUGAAUGCGUUCCCGGGUCUUGCACUAAGGGCCCGUC
rnacentral:rRNA from 1 species